GACAGGGGGCUCGAGCGUUAAUCGGAAUCAUUGGGCUUAAAGGGUGCGUAGGCGGGUUGCUAAGUGUUCUGUGAAAUCCCCCGGCUCAACCGGGGAAUCGCAGGGCAUACUGGCAGCCUUGAGGCAUGUAGGGGCGGACGGAACUGUAGGUGGAGCGGUGAAAUGCGUAGAUAUGACAUAGAACACCAAUUGCGAAGGCAGCUUACUACACAGUUAUUGACGCUGAGGCACGAAAGCGUGGGGAUCAAACAGG
rnacentral:rRNA from 1 species